UACGUAGGGGGCAAGCGUUAUCCGGAAUUAUUGGGCGUAAAGAGCUUGUAGGCGGUUUGUCGCGUCUGCUGUGAAAUUUCGGGGCUCAACCCCGAACUUGCAGUGGGUACGGGCAGACUAGAGUGUGGUAGGGGAGACUGGAAUUCCUGGUGUAGCGGUGAAAUGCGCAGAUAUCAGGAGGAACACCGAUGGCGAAGGCAGGUCUCUGGGCCACUACUGACGCCGAGAAGCGAAAGCAUGGGGAGCGAACAGG
rnacentral:rRNA from 1 species